rnacentral:rRNA from 1 species
GAUGCUGGAGGUAUCAGAAGUGCGAAUGCUGACAUAAGUAACGAUAAUGCGGGUGAAAAACCCGCACGCCGGAAGACCAAGGGUUCCUGUCCAACGUUAAUCGGGGCAGGGUGAGUCGACCCCUAAGGCGAGGCCGAAAGGCGUAGUCGAUGGGAAACAGGUUAAUAUUCCUGUACUUGGUGUUACUGCGAAGGGGGGACGGAGAAGGCUAUGUUGGCCGGGCGACGGUUGUCCCGGUUUAAGCGUGUAGGUGUGUGUUCCAGGUAAAUCCGGUUCACUUUAACACUGAGGCGUGAUGACGAGGCACUACGGUGCUGAAGCAACAAAUGCCCUGCUUCCAGGAAAAGCCUCUAAGCAUCAGGUAACAUCAAAUCGUACCCCAAACCGACACAGGUGGUCAGGUAGAGAAUACCAAGGCGCUUGAGAGAACUCGGGUGAAGGAACUAGGCAAAAUGGUGCCGUAACUUCGGGAGAAGGCACGCUGAUAUGUAGGUGAAGUGGUUUACCCAUGGAGCUGAAAUCAGUCGAAGAUACCAGCUGGCUGCAACUGUUUAUUAAAAACACAGCACUGUGCAAACACGAAAGUGGACGUAUACGGUGUGACGCCUGCCCGGUGCCGGAAGGUUAAUUGAUGGGGUUAUCCGUAAGGAGAAGCUCUUGAUCGAAGCCCCGGUAAACGGCGGCCGUAACUAUAACGGUCCUAAGGUAGCGAAAUUCCUUGUCGGGUAAGUUCCGACCUGCACGAAUGGCGUAAUGAUGGCCAGGCUGUCUCCACCCGAGACUCAGUGAAAUUGAACUCGCUGUGAAGAUGCAGUGUACCCGCGGCAAGACGGAAAGACCCCGUGAACCUUUACUAUAGCUUGACACUGAACACUGGUCCUUGAUGUGCAGGAUAGGUGGGAGGCUUUGAAGCGCGGACGCCAGUUCGUGUGGAGCCAUCCUUGAAAUACCACCCUUUAAUGGCUGGUGUUCUAACGUAGACCCGUGAUCCGGGUUGCGGACAGUGUCUGGUGGGUAGUUUGACUGGGGCGGUCUCCUCCUAAAGAGUAACGGAGGAGCACGAAGGUUAGCUAAUCCUGGUCGGACAUCAGGAGGUUAGUGCAAAGGCAUAAGCUAGCUUGACUGCGAGCGUGACGGCGCGAGCAGGUGCGAAAGCAGGUC